AUUCCAGCUCCAAUAGCGUAUAUUAAAGUUGUUGCAGUUAAAAAGCUCGUAGUUGGAUUUGUGGUGUACUUCGGCGGCCCGUCACUAUGUGAUGGAGCUUGCUGAAGUCGCCAUCCUUGGGUGGAUCCUGUGUGGCAUUAAGUUGUCGUGCAGGGGAUGCCCAUCGUUUACUGUGAAAAAAAUUAGAGUGUUCAAAGCAGGCUUGUGCCGUUGAAUAUAUUAGCAUGGAAUAAUAAGAUAGGACCUUGGUACUAUUUUGUUGGUUUGCGCACCAAGGUAAUGAUUAAUAGGGACAGUUGGGGGUAUUCGUAUUUCAUUGUCAGAGGUGAAAUUCUUGGAUUUUUGAAAGACGAACUACUGCGAAAGCAUUUACCAAGGAUGUUUUCAUUA
rnacentral:rRNA from 1 species